CCUUUGACGAAAGCAGGGUCCUGCAUGCGGAGCUGGCAACGGCUCCGUAUGAAGCCACCGAGACAAUGUAGCCCGGCGCAAGCCAUGCUGAGGUCGUGAGAUCGAGGCUCCUCUGCAAGUGUCAAUGCGGAGGGGGCG
rfam:Burkholderia choica isolate LMG 22940 genome assembly, contig: contig000297